CUACGACGGGGGCUAGCGUUGUUCGGAAUCACUGGGCGUAAAGCGCGCGUAGGUGGAUCAAUUAGUUGAGGGUGAAAUCCCGGGGCUCAACCUCGGAACUGCCUUCAAUACUGUUGAUCUUGAGACCGAGAGAGGUGAGUGGAAUUCCUAGUGUAGAGGUGAAAUUCGUAGAUAUUAGGAGGAACACCAGUGGCGAAGGCGGCUCACUGGCUCGGUACUGACGCUGAGGUGCGAAAGCGUGGGGAGCAAACAGGAUUAGAAACCCUAGUAGUCC
rnacentral:rRNA from 1 species